GCCACAGCUCAGUGGUAGAGCAUCUGUCUUGCAUGCAGGGGGUCCCAGAUUCAGUUCCCUGGCAUCCUGAGGUA